CAUUGCUCCACCAGGCCCCUCUCUUCAUUGCUCUUUCCAAGCAAAUCAGUCCCCUGGAACUUGUAUUUUUCUGCAAUAUAACUUAUGAUUGCUCGUGAUUCUACACAUUGAAUUGAACCAAUUGUCAUCAAGAUCAGGAAUUACUCCAAAAGGCUUGAAUUGACAGGAAAUAGAAGCAAAGUCAGAGCAAAUCAUGGCCAGAAUGAAUAUACAAAAGAAAUAGGAAAAAAUAGAAACCUGUAAGUUGAGAUAAUCAGGGCUUUUAUUCUCUCCUUUCUUCUUUCUUAAGAUCCACAGGUACAGUUUCAAAUUCAAUACCCUUCUCAAUAAGGCAAAGCAAGACACGAUUGACAGAAGCACAGGCUGCACCAUACACCUUCACUACCAUUUUUCUCCUAUCUCAAACUAGCCAAGCCAAAACUGGGUUAUUGAGAGAAUCUUAGGACUCUGUUUCUAUUCUUGUGGACAAUACAAGGGUUAAUUUGCUUGUCAAUCAUGGAUUACGUACAUCAUAGCUCAAGAAAGUUGAUAGGUGAAGAUUUUAUAGCAUGUGAAAGUUGCACAUGCUCAGUUGAGGUUGGUAGUUGUCCUAUUUUUUAAUGUUCUCUUUCUAUUAUCCCUGGUAUGCAAAAUUCAGAAAUAUUCAGCUUUA